rnacentral:rRNA from 1 species
CACGUAGGGCGCGAGCGUUGUCCGGAAUUAUUGGGCGUAAAGAGCUCGUAGGCGGCCUGUUGCGUCCGCUGUGAAAGCCCGGGGCUUAACCCCGGGUCGGCAGUGGAUACGGGCAGGCUAGAGGUAGGUAGGGGGAGAAUGGAAUUCCCGGUGUAGCGGUGAAAUGCGCAGAUAUCGGGAGGAACACCGGUGGCGAAGGCGGUUCUCUGGGCCGUUACCUGACGCUGAGGAGCGAAAGCGUGGGGAGCGAACAGG